rnacentral:rRNA from 1 species
CCUACGGGUGGCAGCAGUGAGGAAUAUUGGUCAAUGGGCUUACGCCUGAACCAGCCAAGUCGCGUGAGGGAAGACUGCCCUAUGGGUUGUAAACCUCUUUUGUCAGGGAGCAACGCCGGCUACGUGUAGCCGGACUGAGAGUACCUGAAGAAAAAGCAUCGGCUAACUCCGUGCCAGCAGCCGCGGUAAUACGGAGGUGGCAAGCGUUGUCCGGAUUUACUGGGUGUAAAGGGCGUGUAGCCGGGCUGACAAGUCAGAUGUGAAAUUCCGGGGCUCAACCCCGGACCUGCAUUUGAAACUGUUGGUCUUGAGUAUCGGAGAGGCAGGCGGAAUUCCUAGUGUAGCGGUGAAAUGCGUAGAUAUUAGGAGGAACACCAGUGGCGAAGGCGGCCUGCUGGACGACAACUGACGGUGAGGCGCAAAAGCGUGGGGAGCAAACAGGAUUAGAUACCCCUGUAGUC